rnacentral:rRNA from 1 species
CACGCAGGCGGUUAGAUAAGUCAGAUGUGAAAGCCCCGGGCUCAACCUGGGAACUGCAUUUGAAACUGUCGAACUAGAGUCUUGUAGAGGGGGGUAGAAUUCCAGGUGUAGCGGUGAAAUGCGUAGAGAUCUGGAGGAAUACCGGUGGCGAAGGCGGCCCCCUGGACAGAGACUGACGCUCAGGUGCGAAAGCGUGGGGAGCAAACA